GAAGUGGACAACCAGCGGACCAGAGUGCGAACUAAAUAAAAACAAGUUGUUUGCUGGCUCCGCCAGGUGACCUGCCUGGUCGGAGGUUGACCUAAAAAAGACCGUUUUAUUACACUUAGCAUUACACGAUACAUUUCACAAUAUCACAGCACAAUAAAUCAGUAAGUAAAUGAAAACAAUAACAAAGAUCCCUACGUAGUGUUUUGUGUCAGUGUGGUGACAUUUGUACGAAUUCACCACACUGCUGUCGGGGGGCGUUUGUUAGUAUCUGGAACACUAGAUACGUUAGGGUUCCAACACUUACCCUGAAGUUAAAUCAUGGAUCUAAGUAAUUCCAUCAAUAUUAUGAAUUUUAAUGCUCGCUCUUUAAAAGCGAAAGAAAAUGAAUUUUUCAACUUUUUACGAGUUUAUAACGUACAUGUUGCUGUUAUAACCGAAACUUUUGUAUCACCACGUACACCCGGUGGCCGUUGUCGUACGUGAGAGACAAUUAACAUUUAACAAAUUAAAAGCAAAGACAAAAAAAAAGACUUAGGGGAGUUUGGGGUAAUAUGGACAGUGGGGGUAAUUUGGACACCCCUUAAAAAAACACAUUUUCUUCGGAUAUAAAGUGAAAACGGCAAUUUAAGUGAUAAGGCUAGUACUAGUAAUGGCCUAGGAGUAUGGACAAACCAAAAAAGUUGGAAUAGGUUAAGUAGUUUUGGUAUAAUAUGUAAAAGUUUCCAAAGGCCGGUUGGCACGGCCUUAAAUUCUAAUAUUUGAAGGUUAGGAAAUAAGGUUUUGCAGGGGUUAUAUGGCAAAAAAGUGGACAUUUUUUGUUUAAGGGGGUUGCUUGGACGAUGCCAGAAAUAUGUACGUAUUAAAAUUGUUCAUUUUAUCCAUUUUUAUCAUCAAAAAUUGCAAUUAAUGAUAGAACAUGCUAUGGGGGUAAUUUGGACAUGGCUUGUGGGAUAAUUUGGACAUACCUGAAAGUGUACCUGUCAGGCAACAAAAAAGUAACUUUCAUGGUUGGAUGAGUUUUUAAAGGGAUUUAGAUAAAUUUAGAGGGAUUUAAUAUGUCAAAACAAUCAAAAAGGAAUGUGAGCAAUGAGAACUUUCACGAAACCCCUAUUUUUUUUAAUUUAGAUAAAUUUAUUCCAAUAUUCGAAUUAAUGAAAAUCUGAUUACUGUACGUUUGGCGUUCAACAAGACUCUAAUGUUGAUUGCUUCUAGUUAAUUUCUUUGACAUUUCUAAUUUCUAUGCAGGUUUACAAUAAUAUUUAAAUUUGAAGGGCUACAGAAUGUAAAAUUUAAAAAAAAAGGUGCAGGUGGUUAUGUUCUACAUGACCAAUAUGACAAAGAACUUUGUACAAAACUCCUAAAAAAUAUUCUAUUUUAUUUUAUAUUUUUAAAACAUUGCCUAUGUAUUUAAUCCUAAAUAAUUUAUUCCUGUAAAAUGUUUUCAAUCUUUGGCACCUCUGUGGAAAUAAAUUGCCAAAACAAGUAUGGUUCGGAAAAUGUCCAAUCAAAAUGGUAAUUUUCAUGUCCAGUAUCAAAAACCAUGAAUUUUGGUACCCAUAUUGCCCCAAGUCGAAUAGUUCGAUUAAUGUCCCCCCGGUAGAACCUUCCCGAGGGCAUUUGCCACUCCGGGUGUGGCCAAUAUCCUAUAAAUUAGAGAUCCUAAAUAGGGAGACUGGACGAAGUGAAUUUGACGUACCCAAACAGACGCGAGUUUGACGUAUCCAAACGAGCAUUUGCCUUUACGCCCAGCAAAACUUAUCAGUGUUGCCAAGCUCAAAACAUACGUUGCCAGAUCGAUUUAGCAAGCUUAGACCAGUCUCCCUAUUUAGGGUCUCUACUAUAAAUGUGGUCCCAAGCCUAUUGCCCCAAAUCAUUCUGGUCCGGUGACCGUCCUUACAAUCUUCAUAAAAACAGAAUUCCUCCCAAUUUAGUGCACAAACUGUGUCUUUCAAUGUGUGCGUGUGUGUGUGUGUGUGUGUGUGUGUGAGCAAUAAAAUCACAGAGAACAGAUGUAUAACACAUAGGAAAAUCCAUUGAAAAAGCUGUGUAAAAAUUCAAACCAAAAUAAGUUACAAAGGGUGUAAAAGAUCCGCAUAGAUGGCGUGUCUGCCCAGUGAAAAAUAUUUUACGACCAUCAGCCCCGCAUCGGCCGUACCUGCGGCCGUACAUUCCCACAGGGGUGGCGAGGUCAGCAAAGCUGGUGAUGAAAUGUCAAAUCAGAAUUGUAAACAUAAACAUAGCCUGCGAUUCGUGAUUCGUUUUAUGGAGAAAAAAUAAUUCUAAGGAAAUUUCCAAUGUUGGUGAACAAACUUUAAAAGCCUAACCAGCAGUAACUUCGAAGACCCGGUCACCAGAUGAGCGGUGUUGUGGUGCAGUGCGCUGGCAAGUUGUUAUCGUCACAGGCUACCGAAGAGGAGAUGGCCAAAAAUGAUUUAUUCCUUACCGUAUAGUUAGCUGUUCGACAUGAAAAACAAGUUCCACAUCGGCAAACCUGCAUAAGACGAAGGGAUUUCAAGGCAGGACCAUGACGAGUUCAUCAGCAACAACUUUAAGCGAAGGGCUGCGAAAUUGGCAGCGAACGAUUUCGCUUCUGAAAUCAACCGGAACUUCUCGGAGAGUGCGGUAAACCAUCUCCAACCUUUCACCACCCAAAAUGAAGCAAGAGAUAUGUACUUUUGAAGCAUCUAGAAAAUAGAAUUUUAAAAAGCUGA